UUUUCUGCUCCUCACAUUGCUGCUACCCAGGGCAGAGAACGAGAUGAUCACAGAUGUAGACGAUGAUAUGUAUUAUUUGGAGAAAGAUGAAGUAUAUUGUAAGUGCUGUAAAAAACAAGGAUACAUUCUGGAGGGUGUUUGCACCAAGAAUCAAGGAUAUUCAAAAUGCAGGGAGCCGUCUACCUCUGGGGAGGAUUUGCAGAACCCCACUGUUGUCCCCAUAACAACUACACUACCCUUCUCCAAGUCAACCCCACCUGCUGAGGACAGUGAGACGCCACCUUCCGGAAUGAAACCUCCUCCUACUGGCAGUAACUGUCCAGACUGUAUUUGUAACUGUAACAAUAGUUGCGAAAACACAGUAUGGUAUGUUGUUAUAUGUAUUCUCAUGAUCACAGCCUUUAAUUUAGUGUUGAUUUGUUCUUUUGCUGUAAAAUUUUCUCAUUAAAAAAGUCCGUGUAGGAGGACGAUUGACUAUGAGAAGGAAAUGCGCGGGAAGUAACAGCAGCUGUCGUAAAUGCAACACUUCUAGUGGAAAAGUCAUAUUGUCUGUAUUUAUUUCUGUCCAUUUGGAAUUGAAUUUUGGACCACAUUAGGCACACCAUCGGAUCAUCUUUGCUAAAGGUCUUGUUGGUUUCCCGGUUCUUUGAAAUGUGGAACCAAAGACUUUUGGAACAUCACGUCACAGAUUUGAAUUACAUUAGGCCUAUCAUAGAUCGGGUCCUGUCACGUACGCAGCUCUCUGCUCUCUAUAAAAGUUUUGCUGCUCUGGUGCUCACCAUGGACACGUCAAUAAAACUCCAUACACUAGUCCUUUCUGGUACAUCGUGGUGAAAUCAGGAGCUCCUCAAAAUAAUGAAACCAAAGAAACCAGCAUUUUUCUGGCCGUUGGGCAAUAAAACAAAAUCUUGUUUUGGCUAGACACCCUUUAUGUCAAUCUAAAUACUCAUUUCUACUUUGAUUUUACUGCAAAAACAACGUUGAUCAAAGGCGCAAAAAUGUCAAUUUGCAGUCGUCAAGGACACUGAAGUUUUGGAAGUAACCAACUUUGGGGGCCAUUUUUCGCUAAUUUUACCUCUGACAUUAGGCGACCCCCACCCCCUUCAAUAGAAAAUAUUAUCUUGACUUCUAUUCUUGAUAGCUGGAUAUUUUCUUUAUCAAAAGCAAGACAAAUGAACAAGACGAUACUAAUACCUCUAUUAAAAAAUUGACAAGCCCUUGAUUUGACCUCGUCUUGACACCUAUGGUCGAGUGCACGGGCAACCUUUUCCCCACUUGCUCUUUAUUUGGUUCCAAAAUUGAGUGAAAUAGUGUGCUCUGUGGUGAACCGGAAAUAUGUCAGAGUACAUAGUUUGUGGCUAGUGCCUCUAGGGGGACACCGGGCUGCAUGGUCCCGAUACGAGCCCUUGCCAAUUUGCUUGAAUACAGUUCGUAGAUGCAAUCUAUAUACUCUAUUUUAAUUUAAAAUACAGGGAGAUCCACCCCCCCCAAAAAAAAAACAAAAAAACAAAAACAAAACAACAACAACAAAAUAAACACACAACCACAGACCAACAACUAUACAACUUGUUUUGUACAUAUCUUCCUCCCUACUGAAUUUUUGCGUUUCAGAUUUGAAGAUAAUAUUUAGAAGCCAAAAGGAAUUUGUGUGCUUUCUUUCUUAAAGCCAUUUCCGUUUUCAAAAUAAAUUUCUUCGUCGUGGAUUUUAUGUCAAACAAAUUCCGUUGGAAUGAAUUGUGUAUGUUCCAAACUACAGCACUCUAGAACAAUUUUGUGCGAGAUAUUCGGAGAAAACGUUGUACCGUUUUUGUGUGGGUUUUUUGUGUGGAUCCCCCUGUAUUUGCGGCCCUUCAGUGAACCACUUGGUCCUCUCUAAAUGGCUGAUUUUUUUCACCUUUUUACUUUCAUAUGUUCGUAUUGUCUAUUGGACGGACAAUGUUUAUAGGCCCGAACGGCAUAAUUGUAUUUAUGGCUCAUCUAUGACUUUACUCUUAACCUGGACUUGAGUCAGAAUAUAUCCCUCACUGAAGUCUUUACUAGUGAGUGAAUUCACGUAGUAGCCGAGUGUUUAGUGAGUUCAAGGUUACAAUGAUGUCAAGCGUAGGUCGUUGAAACACGGUGUUUAGAUGGUAAUCACCGGGGUGGGUCCUUAAAGUGGAAUUUAUUUAUUCGUUUUUUAUUCUGAUACCUUCCUGUGAUUCAUUGUCUCUUAUCUUUCUGCUCGACGAUGUUGUAUUAAUGCCAUUCUGCCUUACAAUCUUGUGAAAGUGCCAUUAAUGCAAUUCUGCCUUACAAUCUUGUGAAAAUGCCAUUAAUUACAAAAUGAGAUCUGAUAAGACAACAAUGAUGAACUUUAUCAUUCUUCCGAAGAGAGUACAUAAUGUUUCAAAUAAAUUAUGUUGCAUUAGUGUCCUAAAAUAGCCCCAUUUUCGACACAUUUCAUUAUGGAAACUUUCUUUUUUUUUAAUGAAUAUUUUAUGUGAUGUGGGCCAAUGACCUUGAACACUUAAUACAUUUACUUACUUAAAAUAUGGUUGAAUUUAUGCAAGUGCGACUUACCAGUCCUUGAUUUGUGAACAUUUUUGUGUCAAUGUUUCAAUGGCAAGUAGUUACAAACUCUACUUUGCUCUAAUAACGCACAGUUGUUAAAAUGAAAAUGAACUAUGAUAGAUCUAAAUGUUUUAAAUGGCGAAAUGCUUUCUUUUUGUUCCCAAUAUUUGAAAAA